AUGGCAGCUAAACCACCCACGAGCUCUGGAAAGCGCUCUUGCAUUUUUCACACUUGCCUUUUCAAAAAGCUGAGCUCCAGCACUUGCAGCCUGGCCAGCUGAGAAGGUCUGGGCUGCUCUCAAGAGCUGGGUGUUUCCACACCAUGUGUCGUGGCUGCGAAAAAGCAGCCCUAACCCAAGUCCACAGAAAGAAACAUUUCUUACUUGUACUCUGCUCGCAUGAUAGUCUGCCCUGGCAGCUGAGCUCAUGGAGAGAAAAUGCCUCCGCUAGCUGUAGGGAUGGGCUCUAGGUGUAAGUCUGUGCACUGCAUGCAAACACAGUGGUCUCACAAAGGAAAAGGCGGCUUGGGAGCUACCUGGGUUGUCUGGGGAGGCUUAGCCAUGUGGGCCGAGACAAGCUGCUUUCACUUCAUUUCAGUCCUCCUACCCAAGACAAGAGAAUAAUAUUUGCUCACCGACCUCUCCAGGGUGUUGGGAGAUGGCAAUGAAUAUCUGCACAGUGCUGCAAACAUAGAAGGUGUUAUAAAAAUGUGAAACCUCUAGGUGCUGAACAGUACAUUUGAACAUUGCAGGAAAGGGAAAUACGGUGCUCAGACACUUGUGGGGUGAGCAGGACAGGUUUAUUGCAGACAGGAAUGUUUAAAGUUGCAAAUACAGGGGGUGCCAAAAUUCAUUUAUGAGGAGGUGAUGGACUGCAGGCACUCCAUAAAGUACUCCCCUGCUGACCAGUGGCACCAGGUGGCAGACCCAGAGAGGCGUAGUGUCCACCUGUGCAGGCGGCCAGGUCUGUAAGCUGGACAACAUGGUGAUCUGAGGCACCAAAUGUUUGGGGGGGUGCAGGGCAGAGGUGGUGGAGCAUGGAGAGGAGGCUGAUGCUUUCUACAAGUCGCCUCUGAGUAGAGCCAGAGUGGUAAAAGCGGGUGCUGCCAGCCCUUGCCUGCAAAUACUUGUCAAAGCUGUCAUCAGGCACACGCCAGAAACAUUUGUGUUCCCACAGGGGUGAUGAGCGCUGGAAGUGCCACCACUUCACCACCAAACACCGUGCCCUAUGGUAUGGGCACAUCACUGCUCCCCAUGGGUUUUCCUGGCCACUGCACUGUACCUCCAGCCUGGCCUAAGGGGUGCGGAGGGGGACAGGUGCCGUUCCCUUGUCCUGCCUUCCCUGGCAGGGCUGGCUGCGUGGGCUUAGGGUACCAGCAUGCUCAUAGCCCAGAGGAGCAGAAUCUGGUCCAGAGUAUUUCCCAGGGUACCAAGGUUGAAUGUGGCCAUGGGCACGUUUUCCUCUCCUGAGGGGUAACAUGGUGUUGACAGUGACUUCAUGGGGAGGAUAAUGUUUGUUGCAGGCGUUACCCCAGCAGUUCAUGGAUACGUACGUGCCUUCUCCCCAGCCACUGCAGCACUUCUAAAUGAGCAGAAAAUACUUUGUGAGGAGGGGAGAUGGGGUGAUGCUCUGUUGCAUCAAGAUACACUAAGUCAGAUGUUCAAAGGGAGGGGGAGAAUGCCUGAGUUAAUGUUACAGAGCCAUUACCCUGACGUUGGUUCGUUAGCAGAACGGCUUUUCCCCAGCAGGGCUUGGCAGCACUGGCUCCCCAUAGCAACUGGCACAAACAAACCCCAGGGCUGCAGGGGCGUGAUGACUGGAAGGAAAGGGGUAAGGUGAAUUGUUCUGGAUUUUCCUCUUCCUUUCUGUUGGCUGUAAAGGGACAAUUAGCUCAGAUGAACUUGAUGCCUCCAGUGGGUCAGAUGAAUUGCCACCUCAAGUUAGUUGGUUACUCUGGAGAAAAGAAGCUCACUUGAAUGAAAAGAAAUGCCCUAAGGGAUAAAUCAAGGUAUCCCUCUGAAAAACAGGUCCUCUAGGGAUGAACCUGGCCAAAUUUCACAGCACCCAAGAGCACCGAGGUGGUGAACAACCUUCUAACUCUUAUGCAGAACAGGAGUGCUCUCUGUUUCCAUCAAGCAACACCAGGAGACUUAUCAGGAAGAAUUCCUCUGAACUAGUCACCCUUAAUCCCUUUCACAGAAGAGAAACAAAUGCAAAUAAGACGCAAUUCCUCUCUGCAAGAUGCUCUGCCAUUAAAUUCAAUUACAGAGUGGAGCUCAAACCCAGCAGCUUACACUCACAGCAAGACGCCACGCUUUAAAAAAUAGGACACAGAAGCUCCAAGAUCAGCCACAGUUGUCUGUUUGCUUCUUGGCUAUGCCGAAGCCUGAAAUGUGAGGAGUGUUGACACCUGUCUCCGAAUACCUCAGCUGACCUGGAAUAUUGUUGGGUUCCUCCCCAUGCCUUGUGUCUGCAUGUGGAGAGGUGGUGGGGCAGCUUUGCCUGAGCUUUGGUUUCUUCCUCCACGGACAUGAGGGCUGCUUGGGGCCAUCUCUGAGGGCUCCCUCCCUCCUUCAUCCUCUUCAUGCUCCACCAUAGGGCAUGGGGAAAUGUCGGACUGGGGUGGAAAUGGGGCUUUUUGGAAGAGCAAGGGUCACCCGUUUGUUUCUGUGUUGGCCUGCGAGGGUGGGAUGUGCUGCCGUUGCAUUUUCAAUGCUAAUUACUAAUAGCUUAUUUUAGCAAAAAUAAAUGUUGCCUUUUAAUGUGUUUUGGUUUAUGUUAUUGUUUUAAUGUCUAAAUAACAAUACAGAACUUGUAUGGAGUGCAUUUAAUGAGUUAUCAUUAAUCGUAAGGAUUCUGUGUUGUUAGUAAGCCUGUGUAUUUACCCUACCUAAUGUAACAAGGGGGUCACAUAGAGAAAGCACUUGCAAAAAGGUUAAGAGCUAAGCAGGCAAAAGAAACAUCAACAUUUUAGCAAAGCAAAGCAAGUCUCUGACAUAUUAAUUACACAAAAAGUCUGUGUCAGAGCCAGGAACUGAAAGGAACAACCCCUCUCCAUUUUUAGCGAAAUUCAGGCUAUUAUAUUAAUCAGAAUCAUAUCUUAAACACCUAUAAAACUAAAAUCUGGUUUACUCAAAAAGAUAGUUGCUUUCAGAGCUGUGAUUAACAUUCGAGUCCUAAAUUUAAGUCUUUGCUUGGACUACUACAAACUUCUGAAGCCUGGAGCUGCUUCCAGUUGUUGCAGUCUCUUCUCAACUCCAUCCACUGCAGGCAGGUAUUUUGUUACUGUGUGUCUGCCCAUGGAGGCUGGGUGUGGAUACCAAGCCAUAUAGGGCUGAUUUUUUUUCUGUAUAAAAUUUGAUGUAUUUCACCAAAUAAAAUUCACUAUGGAUAACCACA